rnacentral:rRNA from 1 species
CACGUAGGGGACGAGCGUUGUCCGGAUUUAUUGGGCGUAAAGAGCGUGUAGGCGGCCAUACAGGUCAGCUGUGAAAACUCGAGGCUCAACCUCGAGACGUCGGUUGAAACCGUAUGGCUAGAGUCCGGAAGAGGCGAGUGGAAUUCCUGGUGUAGCGGUGGAAUGCGCAGAUAUCAGGAGGAACACCAACGGCGAAGGCAGCUCGCUGGGACGGUACUGACACUAAGGCGCGAAAGCGUGGGGAGCGAACAGG